GAGGAAGUAAAAGUCGUAACAAGGUUUCCGUAGGUGAACCUGCGGAAGGAUCAUUAUCGAACUUGUCCCGGGAUCCGUGCGGUUUCGGCCAGCACUCCCGUUGACGCCUUCGCCUCAACCCCUUCUGAAGUCCGGCCCUUGCGGUCGGAUGCAUCACGGCGGCCUCGCCGGUGCACGUCUGGGCGUCUUCGGACGUUUGACCUCUGUACAUAUUUUAUACAAACGACCGUCUCUGCAUGUCUCGUUCGAGUAAUACGAAACAACUUUCAACAACGGAUCUCUUGGCUCUCGCAUCGAUGAAGAACGCAGCGAAAUGCGAUAAGUAAUGUGAAUUGCAGAAUUCAGUGAAUCAUCGAAUCUUUGAACGCACCUUGCGCUCCUCGGUAUUCCGUGGAGCAUGCCUGUUUGAGUGUCACGUCAUACCUCACGCCGCCGCGGCUUUGCUUGCGACCGGAUUGUGGAUUUGGACUCUGCCGGGUUCCGGCUGGUCUUGAAAUGCAUUAGCUGGUGUGGCUUAGGGGAGCCAUGUGGCCGUCGGCGUGAUAAUUAUCUGCGUCGUCCGAGCCCCUCCGCGUGCCCCUUCUGUCCCACGUCGCUUCGAGCUGUCCCUCCCCGGGACAAACCGUCUUUAAAGCUCUGGCCUCAAAUCAGGUAGGAUUACCCGCUGAACUUAAGCAUAUCAAU
rnacentral:rRNA from 1 species